UUGAGGAGGUUUUCUGCGCCACUUAACCAUCUUAUCCUUUCUUUCAAAGACCCAAAAGAAAUUGGCAUGAUGUGGGCUGUAGCCUUAUUUCUAGCUUUCCUGCUCCCUGACAGUCAACUGUCUCCCAACUGGAAAGAGAGAUUGCGGUCAGUCACCAAGACAUUCGGGUCCUCUGUGGCAAUCAGUUGUGAUGUUCACCCGGUCUUAGCCCCCGUCCACUGGUAUCAGGCUAUGGAGGGGAAGGCCCCACGAUACCUUCUUGUCUAUGACAUCUUUAGAUCCACUGCUGUGGUGGACUCUGAACUCAGUCCAGAAAAAUACCAUGCUUAUGAAGGGAUAGGAAGGAGCUGCAAUUUGGUGUUACGAAAUUUGGACAGGAGUGAUUCUGGCAUGUAUUACUGUGCCACUUGGAUUGGCACAGUGGUGUAG